UCGCCUGUUUUAUCAAAAACAUCGCCUCUUGCUAAAAUCAAAGAAUAAGAGGUCCCGCCUGCCCACUGAUCCCAGAUUCAACGGCCGCGGGUAUUUUGACCGUGCUAAGGUAGCGUAAUCACUUGUCUUUUAAAUGAAGACCCGUAUGAAAGGCUUAACGAGGGCUUAACUGUCUCCUUUUUCCAGUCAAUGAAACUGAUCUCCCCGUGCAGACGCGGGGAUUAAAACAUAAGACGAGAAGACCCUAUGGAGCUUUAGACACCAAGGCAGCCUAUUUUAAAUAACCCUAAACAAGCAACAAAUCUAUUAGUAAACCUGCCUCAGUCUUAGGUUGGGGCGACCCUGGGGAAAUACAAAACCCCCAUGUGGAGAGGGGGGACCUAAUACACAACCCCUAAAGACUCGAAACACAAUUCUAAUCAACAGAACCUCUGACCAAAUUGAUCCGGCCCAAGCCGAUUAACGAAACAAGUUACCCUAGGGAUAACAGCGCUAUCCCCUUUUAAAGUCCAUAUAGACAAGGGGGCUUACGACCUCGAUGUUGGAUCAGGACAUCCUAAUGGUGCAGCCGCUAUUAAGGGUUCGUUUGUUCAACGAUUAAAGUCCUACGUGAUCUGAGU
rnacentral:rRNA from 1 species